rnacentral:lncRNA from 10 species
CUAGGAGGCACUGUGGAGCAAAAGGUGGCUGCUACCAGGAUGGGAUGCGAACACAGAUUCAUCUAGAAACAGCUCCACUUGGGCAAGACUUGUUUACUAGGAUAUCCAUAGCUCCCAUAGUGGGAGCUCAGUAAAUAUUUAUGGAAUAAUGAAGUGGAGAGGCAAAGGAAUCAACAUGACAGCAGCAUUUAAAAAGUUCUCCAAAAAUCUUAAAAGACAGAAGGAUUGCUAGCCAGGGAGAAGAACAUACUAACCGAUGCCCAAAGUAUUUACCUGAAUUAAAGGCGGGGCCCAGGAUUGCUGCCGCCGGAACUGAGGUGGCAUGUGGCCCACCCUGUGACUAACAGGCCUUGGACUUACACGUACCUUCCACCUUGCAUUGUAACCUCACUGCCCCAGCCAUGGUCAUCUCCCAGGGCAGGGACUGUCAUCUCCCUGUGGCAGAUGAAGAAGCAGCAAUUUUUCCAAGCCAUGAAGUGAAAGAAUGAUGGGGCAGAUUCCCAUCCCUGGGCUUCUAGUUUAGCACUCCUCGGAUUACAGCAGGGAUUUGUUUGUAAGGGAGCUAACAUUUCUUAAGUACCUACUAAAUAUUUAUGAGACAUGGGGAUAGAGGCUCUGCAUGUGCUGUUUUAUUUAAUGCAUGCAUUAAAUUAAAUACACUAAAUUAGACACAACCCCAUUUUACAGCUGGUAAAACUGUAGCUGUAUGGAAAGUGGUUAACACACUGUUUGGCAUGUAGUAAGUGCUUUAUAAAUGUUAGCAGUAAUCAUGAGAUUGUUUUUAUGGGGUCAUCCAAAGUCAUAUAAUUAAAAGUGGUAGAUCUGAGGCUCAGACUCAGGUCUGAUUCCAUGCCCUUCCUUCCACUGCAGCUGGCUGCUUCCCUGAAGGGCUAGGUCCAGUUUCCGAGGCCUAUCCAGGAGCCAUCAGCUGGGUGCUCCCAUCCAGGCCAGGGGGGAAGUGUCCUUUAGAGAGGCCCUGCUGGUUCACUGUGUCUGUUUCUUUACAGAUACAAUGAGGUGAAGAAGAAAAUGGAUCCUGGCUUCCCCAAGCUCAUCGCAGAUGCCUGGAAUGCCAUCCCCGAUAACCUGGAUGCCGUCGUGGACCUGCAGGGCGGCGCUACUUCUUCAAGGGUGCCUAUUACCUGAAGCUGGAGAACCAAAGUCUGAAGAGCGUGAAGUUUGGAAGCAUCAAAUCCGACUGGCUAGGCUGCUGAGCUGGCCCUGGCUCCCACAGGCCCUUCCUCUCCACUGCCUUCGAUACACCGGGCCUGGAGAACUAGAGAAGGACCCGGAGGGGCCUGGCAGCCGUGCCUUCAGCUCUACAGCUAAUCAGCAUUCUCACUCCUACCUGGUAAUUUAAGAUUCCAGAGAGUGGCUCCUCCCGGUGCCCAAGAAUAGAUGCUGACUGUACUCCUCCCAGGCGCCCCUUCCCCCUCCAAUCCCACCAACCCUCAGAGCCACCCCUAAAGAGAUACUUUGAUAUUUUCAACGCAGCCCUGCUUUGGGCUGCCCUGGUGCUGCCACACUUCAGGCUCUUCUCCUUUCACAACCUUCUGUGGCUCACAGAACCCUUGGAGCCAAUGGAGACUGUCUCAAGAGGGCACUGGUGGCCCGACAGCCUGGCACAGGGCAGUGGGACAGGGCAUGGCCAGGUGGCCACUCCAGACCCCUGGCUUUUCACUGCUGGCUGCCUUAGAACCUUUCUUACAUUAGCAGUUUGCUUUGUAUGCACUUUGUUUUUUUCUUUGGGUCUUGUUUUUUUUUUCCACUUAGAAAUUGCAUUUCCUGACAGAAGGACUCAGGUUGUCUGAAGUCACUGCACAGUGCAUCUCAGCCCACAUAGUGAUGGUUCCCCUGUUCACUCUACUUAGCAUGUCCCUACCGAGUCUCUUCUCCACUGGAUGGAGGAAAACCAAGCCGUGGCUUCCCGCUCAGCCCUCCCUGCCCCUCCCUUCAACCAUUCCCCAUGGGAAAUGUCAACAAGUAUGAAUAAAGACACCUACUGAGUG